rnacentral:lncRNA from 1 species
GCCGAUGGAAUUGUUCCUUCCAGAAGGUUGUGAUCGAGCCAUAAAUACUCGAGAUUUUGAAGCUCACCGAUACUAACCGGAAUGGAGCCGGAAAAUAGAUUAUAUGAAAGAUUAAUUAGUUGAAUGUUAGAUAAGUUUGAGAGGUUUUUAGGUAUAUCACCAGAGAAUGUGUUGGACGAAAUAUCAAAAAAGCGGAGACUUCGAGGGAGGUCGCCGGGUACAUUGCCAGAGAGAUGAUUCCCGGCGACGUUCAGGAUAAAGAGAUUACUGAUAUUGGCGAUCUCCGGCGGGAGUUCGCCGGAGAAUGAGUUGUACUGGAGGAAGAUGGAGCGUAAGAGAGUACAUUUAGAGAUAGAAAAUGGAAUAGUACCGUUAAAGUUAUUUGACCGGAGGCUUAACCUGCGCAGCAUGCGCAGGUUAGAGAUUUUUUUAGUAAGUGGACCUGUGAGCUGGAGGCGAGGGAGGCGGAGCUCGGUAACUCGGCCGUUGUUGCAGGCGACGCCGCGCCAGUCGCAGGGCGCCGACGGCGUGGAGGAAUCCCAGCCGUUCAGAGCUCCGAGUGGAUCAUGGAGGCUGAGUUUGAAUGAUGUUAGGGCUUCGAUUUCGGCGGUCUGAGCGGCGCACGAUAAGGUGUGGGACAUGACCAAGAGGAAGAGCAGCGCAGUAGGCAAUGGCAAUGGCAAUGGCAAUGCCAUGGUCAUGGAUGAAAGAAAUCGCAUUGGGAAGGUUUAGUAGUUUUGUGGUGAGGUGGUUUAGGUUAGCAAAGGGUGCGCAGCGUAGGUUAGUGGAAGUGGAGUGGGGAGUGUUGUGAACAGUUGAGUGUGUUUUAGUAUUUGUCUUCCCAAACAAAACCCUCUGAAAGAACACUUUUCAAAGGGUGAAUGGGUUGGCACUUUUUAACCUCUUAUGGGUUGAAUCAUUAAUGGCUUGUGGGAUCUCAUUCUUAUCAAUCAAUUUGGUUUGGUGGGUGAAAAAAUAAAAACAAAAACUAUUUAGGAGAAUCUUAGUUGACUGUGACUAAAUAUAUAUCACUAUACCAACAACAAUGACCCCUCUGAACUAGUUAGUGGUGGUGGAGGAGUACUACUACUUACUAGUAGUAGUAUAUUUUUCCCUGAUAACAAGGUUGGAUAAACAAAUUCUACUCUAAAUAAGCAAGGUUUAACUAUUGUAAUUUCCAUAAUUUAUUCUAUUUUUAAUGAAUUAGAGCAUAUUUUACAUUGACAAACCCACUAUCCUUUCCGUUUUAAAUAAAUGGAGACUUUUCAUUUCAGGAUCCAGAUAUGAGAGAGAUGAUUUUAAAUGGAGAGUCUCUAUUUAUUUGAAAUGAAGAGGAUCCUAGUCCCAAACUUACGUACAUACGAGUCUUUGAUUAAGAUUUCGAUGUUCAUUUUUGUCAUCCCAUGUUCGACACCGGAGAGUUUAAAGUUUACGAUAAUUACGAGUGUAAUUUCAGAAUUCUUUCUUAUAAUAAAAGGUUAUUGAAAAAACGUGCUUAAUUUGGUUAGUAGUUUGCUAUUGGAAUUUUCGUCUUUGAUUUUUCUUUUCUUACAACUUUGCUUAGUUUUUGGGUUAGGAAUCACUCUUUUAUCUUUUUCAUUCGCUAGUAGUAGUCAAGGGGAGGAGGUGUCAAAAAGAAGAAAGUAGACAAAAAUUGUGUUUGAAUUCAACAACUGAAUAAAGAUUAGAAUUCAAUUUUGUGGGCCACAAAUUUUGUGUCACACCAGUUGGGUGAUGGUAAUCACUAGUACUCUGUUUGACAGACCACCUACUACUACGACAAAUGGCAGCAUUGCAUUCUAUCGUCAUUAUGUGACCAAAUUUUAUUACGCGGGAAAACUAAAUUCUCUUCGGGGGGAUUGAUUGGUUAGCAACGGAACUCAAGGAGAUUCUCCCAAAUGAAAUUAUUAUAUAUACAUAUAUUUUUGUUGUCUGAAAUAAUUAGGAAUGCUAAAGAGAUCCUCAGUACUGAAUUUUUUUAUUCUGGUUUCUGGGAUAAUAAUUUUUUUCAAUAAAUUUAGGUAAUUAAAUUUACUUUCUAUGUAAUUCUUGAUGUUGAUUAUAAAUUCAUUAUAUUUGUAAUAGCAUCCGUGAAAAUGAGAAUUUCAUAAAAAAAAAAAUUCUUUAAAAUAAUAUUAUAACUUUAUAUUGUCAUUCCCUAAAUAAUGAAUGAUAAAAAAUAAUAAUAAUAAUAAUAAAAGGAAAAAAAACAGAGAGAAGGGUGGGGCGUUGGUAAUAGCAAAAGACAUGAACAUGAUGAUUCUGAAAGCUUCCCGUACAACAGGUAUCACAUUGCCAUCGAUGAUGUAAAACAACAUUACAGUAUCGAUAUCAGGCUGCGUUUCAAUUUAUAGGUUCUUUUUGAGCUCCAGGGAGCAAAGUUAAGGCCAAACAUCUCCUUGAAAGCCUGCCCUGGCUCAAUAAGCCCAACCAGCUUUGCAACAACAAUAGCACUGUCUGCAAUAUGGUCCAUAUCUUCUGUAUCAGUCCAUAGGCGGUUGACCAACUGUAGUCUCCUAUGUUUACCAUUCAAUGUAACACCCCAUUUAAGGUAGAGGCUCUCUCUCUCAAUUUCUGAGAGCUGCCUCUGCAUUUGCUUGCUCAGCAUGCGUCUCUCAUUGCGGAGUGCCUUCAAGCUGUUAUCAAAAGAAAUGUGUCAGAGAUCAAACAGGCUUCGUGAGAUUGGCAUUAUGUAUACAAGAUGGAUAACAUACGAAUCAUGCACUAGCUGUCUAUUGCCAACCAGAAACAAGAAUACAUCAAGACGACAACCAGCUUGAGUAACUGUUGCACUGAUCUGCCUGUUUUUAUAGAGUACAUACUCCAUAUGUCCGGAAGAAAGAGUAUCAUUUUCAUAGUAAAUCAAAACGAAAAAGGUACUGUUUUUUUACCACAGAAAGAACUUAAUUACCAUCNNNNNNNNNNNNNNNNNNNNNNNNNNNNNNNNNNNNNNNNNNNNNNNNNNNNNNNNNNNNNNNNNNNNNNNNNNNNNNNNNNNNNNNNNNNNNNNNNNNNCUUCCAGAAGGUUGUGAUCGAGCCAUAAAUACUCGAGAUUUUGAAGCUCACCGAUACUAACCGGAAUGGAGCCGGAAAAUAGAUUAUAUGAAAGAUUAAUUAGUUGAAUGUUAGAUAAGUUUGAGAGGUUUUUAGGUAUAUCACCAGAGAAUGUGUUGGACGAAAUAUCAAAAAAGCGGAGACUUCGAGGGAGGUCGCCGGGUACAUCGCCAGAGAGAUGAUUUCCGGCGACGUUCAGGAUAAAGAGAUUACUGAUAUUGGCGAUCUCCGGCGGGAGUUCGCCGGAGAAUGAGUUGUACUGGAGGAAGAUGGAGCGUAAGAGAGUACAUUUAGAGAUAGAAAAUGGAAUAGUACCGUUAAAGUUAUUUGACCGGAG